rnacentral:rRNA from 1 species
GUGAGGAAUAUUGGUCAAUGGGCGAGAGCCUGAACCAGCCAAGUAGCGUGAAGGAUGACUGCCCUAUGGGUUGUAAACUUCUUUUAGAAGGGAAUAAAGUGGAGUAUGUAUACUCCUUUGUAUGUACCUUCUGAAUAAGGAUCGGCUAACUCCGUGCCAGCAGCCGCGGUAAUACGGAGGAUCCGAGCGUUAUCCGGAUUUAUUGGGUUUAAAGGGAGCGUAGGCGGAUGUUUAAGUCAGUUGUGAAAGUUUAAGGCUCAACCUUGAAAUUGCAGUUGAUACUGGAUGUCUUGAGUGCAUUGAAUGUGAGCGGAAUUCGUGGUGUAGCGGUGAAAUGCUUAGAUAUCACGAAGAACUCCGAUUGCGAAGGCAGCUCACAGUGAUGUAACUGACGCUGAUGCUCGAAAGUGUGGGUAUCAAACAGGAUUAGAAACCCUAGUAGUCC